AUUGAACGCUGGGGCAUGCCUUACACAUGCAAGUCGAACGGUAACAGGUCUUCGGAUGCUGACGAGUGGCGAACGGGUGAGUAAUACAUCGGAACGUGCCUAGUAGUGGGGGAUAACUACUCGAAAGAGUGGCUAAUACCGCAUGAGAUCUACGGAUGAAAGCAGGGGAUCGCAAGACCUUGUGCUACUAGAGCGGCCGGUGGCAGAUUAGGUAGUUGGUGGGAUAAAAGCUUACCAAGCCGACGAUCUGUAGCUGGUCUGAGAGGACGAUCAGCCACACUGGGACUGAGACACGGCCCAGAAUCCUACGGGAGGCAGCAGUGGGGAAUUUUGGACAAUGGGCGCAAGCCUGAUCCAGCAAUGCCGCGUGCAGGAUGAAGGCCUUCAGGUUGUAAACCGCUUUUGUACGGAACGAAAAGCCCCGGGUUAAUACCCUGGGGUCAUGACGGUACCGUAAGAAUAAGCACCGGCUAACUACGUGCCAGCCGCCGCCGUAA
rnacentral:rRNA from 1 species